GACGAACGCUGGCGGCGUGCUUAACACAUGCAAGUCGAACGGAAAGGCCCUGCUUUUGUGGGGUGCUCGAGUGGCGAACGGGUGAGUAACACGUGAGUAACCUGCCCUUUACUUUGGGAUAACUUCAGGAGACUGGGGCUAAUACCGGAUAGGAGCUCCUGCUGCAUGGUGGGGGUUGGAAAGUUUCGGCGGUUGGGGAUGGACUCGCGGCUUAUCAGCUUGUUGGUUGGGUAGUGGCUUACCAAGGCUUUGACGGGUAGCCGGCCUGAGAGGGUGAACGGCGACAUUGGGACUGAGAUACGGCCCAGACUGCUACGGGAGGCAGCAGUGGGGAAUAUUGCACAAUGGGCGGAAGCCUGAUGCAGCAACGCCGCGUGCGGGAUGACGGCCUUCGGGUUGUAAACCGCUUUCGCCUGUGACGAAGCGUGAGUGACGGUAAUGGGUAAAGAAGCACCGGCUAACUACGUG
rnacentral:rRNA from 1 species